rnacentral:misc_RNA from 1 species
GAGCAAGGUAUUCUGGAGCCAUGUAUCCACUAUAGUUUUAUAAAAUUGAAAUCAUUGCUCGUUCAAAUAUAUAUAGAUAGUAUUAUGUUCAUAUAUGAAUUACAUAUUGAAUCAUUUCAAUUACUAGAAUAUUGACCUUAAAGUUUGAUCGAUACUUAAUAUGUUCUCAGUUUGCCAAAGACCAAAAUGGAACAGAUACUCACAGUGUUCCUGCAAUGGCUGUGCUGAUAUG